rnacentral:lncRNA from 1 species
ACAAUUACCGAGCGAUUCAUUUAAUAGGGAUUUCAUAAUCUGAAGCAUCAGUUACUGCAUCAGUCAGUACAUACCAGGAAAAAACAUAAGAACAAUACACUUCCUACCAAAACAUAUGUAUCCUCUAAAAUCAGAAUUGACAUGGACAAACAAAGGAAUUGUUAACAAACAACACUUGGACGAAGCAAAUCAUUCUAAGCCUACAAUUGAUAAGGUGGCUGAGAACACAUAUGCCUGCCACGCAACUCUGUACCGGCCAGCUGCUGAGUAAUGUAUUUAAAUAGGGAUCUCACAAUCUGCAACGAUAGUUAGGAAAGAUUUCAUAAAGAAGCAAGGGUAUUACUAAUGGCAGGGGGCAAGCAUUAUUGGCUUCUUGGCAGUCGCUUAAUAUGUCAAUCUUUUGAUCGUCAUCUUCAACCUCCUUACAGUCUGGACAUCUUCUCCUUUAAAUCACUUGAAUGGUCUUCAAAUAGCAUUGCCCACGAAGAUAUGCAUCACUACCGCAAGCCACGCCGAUGCAUACACCACAAGAAGGAGCAGCACCACAAUCUCGUCCAUCUCUGCGAUGUCGCGGUUGUGCCUGUCCUGCGAAGCGCCGAGGAGUGACGGCGAGCUAGGUUAGGAUCGGCAGUGGCACGAGCACUGCGACAGUAAGAGAAAUAGGGAAGGACAAGUGCACGAAAGAGGCGGGUCAAAGCAGCGAGGACGUACCUUGAGGACGAUGCUACCCGACCUCCUCCUCCUUGAUGACGAGGAAGCACCAAGGGCAGCUUGAUGCUUGCCGGUGGCCUCCCUGAUGAAUUGGAGCCGAGCACUACGGGGUCAAAGGUGCAUCACCUCAUGCUUCUCCCGCUGAGCACCGAGGAGAGGGAGGCCAGCUUGGGAGCGAAAGAGGCAGAAGUUGAAUACAUGUAAGCAAUCAACCAAGAAAUGAGAUGCUAUAUGUGAAUAAUAUACAAAUGAGGAGAUGCUAUAUAAAUGACCUGCAGCGCGCCUUGCCCUGCGGUGCUGGAGCAGACUGUUGUGCCUAAGCAUGUGUGCCAGCCAGGCAGAAGCAUUUAUCCUGAUUAAUAACAAUAGUAGUUGAGCUGCUAUUGCGCCGCCAAGUUCUGUUUGCACACAGUAGAAGGGAACCAGAAAUAUUAUAUAAGCCUUGCUCGUUUUUGUAAGGCGUGGAACAAAGAAACGCUCCAGGCCUUCGUAUCAAUAUAGAGAAGCUGAGCCUAGGUGUAUAAAUUACGAACGUUUGUUCUGCUACAUCAAAAAUAGAAGGAUCAGUAUGCUCAUGUACUUGGAAUUGUAAAGACAAAUUUAAAAGUAUCUGCUGCUGAUAAAAAAAUUAUAACAAGAUUUGGUGAAAUGUCAGUAGGCUCUUAGGAUCAGGGCAGCAGUCUUCGCCGUCUAAAAGUCUCUUGUUUGUAAUUACACAAAAAUGGAGUUUCAUUUGUUUGUAAUUACACAAAAAUGGAGUUUCAUUUGUUUGUAAUUACACAAAAAUGCAGUUUCCUUUGUUUUUUCCACAUACACAAAAAUGGAGUCUCCUUUGUUUUUCUACAUAAACAAAAAUGGAGUUUGCUAAUGCAAUCACAUGUAGCAGAGUUGUUCAAUCAAUGGACAGGGGGGAAUGAUAUAUACACUAACCACCACAAAGUCGUGUAACAAAAAACAGAGGAAAAACUGAAGGAAGAGCAAACAUGGCCAACUUCACAGGAGAGGUAGACAUGCCUUUGCCGGGAGAGGAGCAGGGUAGCGGUCAUCGCCGUCACCGGCAGGAGGUGUCUCUAGUGAGAAAAGACAUGGAAGCAAGCUGGAGAUUCACGACUCAGCCACAAUGAACUCCAUUAAAAUCCUUUGAAGCAUUCAAUUGCCACAACAGACCUAGAGGAAAUAGCCCAAUUAGCUCACCCGCUCACCAAAAAUAAGAAAUGGAGGGAAAGAGAUCCAAGGACACAAACCUACACUACAAUGGGUGAGUGGAUAAGAAGCAUAAACAUGUAGCAAUACAAUAAGCCUCUGAAGGAGACAUGGCGGCUCAGCGGUGACGGCAAGAGAGAUGGGCCGCUGGCUAGCCUCCUCUUCAGUCUCAGCAUAGUACCUACAAAGAAAUGUACCCCUUUAGAAAUACCGAACCAUUACAAAUGCAGCCUCCCAUAAAAAUAUAACCCUCUUCUGAUAAUAACAAAAAUUCUAGUAAAUACAUAUUUCAUUAGCAAGAGAACGGGCAACCUCUUUGUUUGUUGAUAGCUUAGCAGGCUCCAAAAGCAGGGAAAACUCUUGUUGGUUGAUAGCUUGUAAGUCACUAAAGGUAGCUUGAGGUCCCCACACAAAAAUUAAGUCCUCUGAGAUCACAUAAGAUACAUAAUAUAAAUUUCAAAUAUUUACAAAUAAAGUCGCAGUUUGGUUUGGUCUGUUCCCUUGAAAGAAAAUUGUAAUGCCCAUCUCAGCAUUAGUAAUACAAAUCCAUCUUUCAACAAUUAAGUACAAAAUAAUAUAUUCAACUAUCUGAGCAUAGUUCUCAGGAAGAAUACUUGUUGUGUGGAAUGGAUCAGUGAGUAAGAAACAGAACAAAUAAUAUUAAGAUAACUAUGAUGCAUCUCAAUUCAGAUGGGUCACUGACCAAAGGGUUAUAAGCAUUGCAAUAUUAUAUACUGACCAAAUUAGUAUUGCUCAGUAUAAACGUAAGGCCUCUUGUUUAGGACAAAGGAUAGAUAUUUGAUAUAUCACAGGAAAUGUAGCAUGAUAUAAUAGUAUCAGGAGUACAUAGAUUUCACAGAGGUCUAUUUUUAAAAUGGCCACAACUGCAAAAUUCCCUCUCGAGAUCCCCAAUGCUUCUGGUCACAGGGCAGCGGCCGCGGCUCCGGAAAGAAAAUAAAUAAAUUCCUGCACUUCAAGAAAGCAAAGAAAUCAAAAAUCAGUUUUUGCAAUGGUUUCUGCGCUAAUUCAGUUUGUGCGCUAAAACAGAGUGUAUCUAAAUAUUCAGUAUCUAAACUAAAGAAUAUUUGUGGAAUAGCUGAACUUCUAAACUUACACGUAGAUCAACGGUAAAUGUUCAGUCUUUUCAGUUCCUGUUCUAAUUCAUUUUCUGCACUAAAACAGAGUAUAUGUAAAGGUCCGGUAUCUGAACUAUCGAAGGUUUGUGGAACAUCUGAAUUUUUAAACUUAAACUGAGAUCAAAAGUAAAGGUUCAGUCUUUUCAGUUUCUGUACUAAUUCAGUUUGCGUGCUAAAAUUCAUUUUCUGCACUAAAACAGAGUACAUCUAAAGAUUCAGUUUCUGAACUAUAGAAGGUUUGUGGAACAGUUGAUUUUUUUAACUUAAACAGAGACCAAAAGUAAGGGUUCAAUCUUUUCAGUUAAACAACGAUCAAAUAUACAAUCCUUUCAGUUCAAUAGAGAUAAAAUGUUCAGUUUUGGCUAACAUACUGAUCACAUGUACUCAAUUAUUUCCCUAAGACAGAUUCAUAUGAGUUCUUCUACAUGAACAGAGCACAUGUUCAGAUCAACACAAACAGGAACAAAACCCUAGGCAUGCUUAAAAAAUAAGCCUCGAUACCAUAAUUUAACAUCAUUCCAUUGUCAUAUACAUGAAAGCCACAACAGAGCUGACGCAAUCGACCUUGAUCAUAGAUGGGAAAGACCCUACUGAUUAAAGCAUUGCGCUAAUACAAACACCUACAUUUCACUUACAUAUGUAAUUCACAGCUUGUAGACACACAACUUGUAGACACGUAUAGAAAAGAGAUCAGGCUAAUCAGGAGGAAGAGAGAAGUGUGGGUACCUGCAAGAAAGCUUACUGGCAUGACUCAUAUCAGAAAUCCUCCUCUGAACUCAUGAAGAACCAAUAGCAUUGCGAACCAUCGCUUAUCCCAGAAUAACAAAGUGCAACUUACUCUUAACCAGAUUAGAUCAAGGACCAACAACAAACAAUAAAAGAUCAAGAACAACGUAUAUGCAACAAAGGUAUGAGAGAGAAGAAAUAUUUACAUAAGACGACUAUAAACACUGGAGCAUAAAUAAGCAACACCUUUAAAUACAAAUAAAAAGGGUUCGGGGUUCCAUGCAUAGUGGGCUCAGAUUCGCCUUUCCUCGAUCGUAUAAUCUACCCCCAUCAUCUCCUAUCGCCAGAUCAAUCUGUUUAUACAGUGGAGCUGCCCUGGUUAUCACUCAACAAGAAUGACCAUCCAAGGACAGAACAAUAAGUAUCACAGGAUCAAAAAGGAUUCUAGAGACAAGGAAGGAUCCAACUUGAUACCCACAGGUGCCUCGAUUGCUCAAAGGCACACUUAUUUCAGCCAUGGCUAAUCAUCAUCGCCCUAGCAAGAAUGGCUUCCGACCGACGGGGCACGUGAUUCAAACGCGGUGGCACGAGAUAUCUCACCGCGGGAGUAACUAUUCAUUGCUAUAGGAGCUCGGGCUCGAUCCAACGGCCGAGAUCAAUCCGGAUCGAGAUCCGACGGCCAGAAUCGCAUCAGGAAAUCGAUCCGACGGCCAAAAGUGCCUGAGAUCCGAGGAGCCAUCCGAGGAGCCAGGGAACUUGUCGCGGGUCUUAUUUCUGGAUGGAUCACCAGAUCAAUAUGUUCUUACGAGGGUGAAACUGCCUUGGUUAUCACUCAUCAGAAAUGACCAUCCAAGGACAGAGUCACUAAAAUGAGAACAUGAUCAAAACAGUUCAAAGAAACGACGGAGGAUCCAAAUUAAUACCCACAAGUGCCUCGAUUACUCGAGAGCAUGCCUAUAUCAUCCAUAACUAAUCAUCAUAGCCUGGCCAUGUCCCAUACAAUAGCCUAAGCAGAGCAGGGGAAGAUGGAGCUCACCGAGGGAGGUUGUAGCCAAGGCAGUACUCAGUGGGCACCGGGGUUUCGCCUGAACGCCGUCCAACCGGUGAGGAACCACGUCUGAGUUGCGCCUUGCACCAUCCCACCGACGAGCAUGAAUGCCAAUGGCACCAAAGCGGCCAAGGAUNNNNNNNNNNNNNNNNNNNNNNNNNNNNNNNNNNNNNNNNNNNNNNNNNNNNNNNNNNNNNNNNNNNNNNNNNNNNNNNNNNNNNNNNNNNNNNNNNNNNNNNNNNNNNNNNNNNNNNNNNNNNNNNNNNNNNNNNNNNNNNNNNNNNNNNNNNNNNNNNNNNNNNNNNNNNNNNNNNNNNNNNNNNNNNNNNNNNNNNNNNNNNNNNNNNNNNNNNNNNNNNNNNNNNNNNNNNNNNNNNNNNNNNNNNNNNNNNNNNNNNNNNNNNNNNNNNNNNNNNNNNNNNNNNNNNNNNNNNNNNNNNNNNNNNNNNNNNNNNNNNNNNGAGGAGAGACAGAGAGAAGGGAACGAAGGGGGCGAACGAGAAGCGAGCCAGCCGCCCUCCCCCACCACAUAGCCGCACGGAGCCAACCACCGUCCACCACGCACGCGGCCUGGACAGGAAAUGACGAAAAAGCCCUCGGCGGGGGGCAAGAUUUACGUGCGGUGGCACGAGAUAUUUACCGCAGGCGCGCGCACGACUGAACGCACCGGCUGCACCCGCACACCCGCUCGCUGACGGGCGCGGCCCACCCGCCGGGACCCCCCAGGUCAGCGACAACCGGUCAAACGGAAGGAGUAAUCGACGGGGCAAGCCAAACGGGAUCAACCAUGCUACAGGGGAGGGGGAUUCGAUCCGACAGCCGACGUCCUUCCACCGCUCGAUCGGACGCCCAGAAACCCAUCAAGCAAAUUGAUCCGAUGGUCAAAAUGCGCUAACCGCUGAGAGCGCCGGUGGCUCCCUUCGUCUCAUAUUUCUGGAUAAAGCAGGGCAAUAAUCCAGUUAUCUUUGAUCAAGACCAAGAAAUGAAUUAGUUGUCCCAGCUAGCCACUAUAAUUCUGCAACCAACAGACCAUUGUUUCCGGAAUGUAGCAGCAAUCAUGUAAACAAAGUGGGACUAAAUAUGGUAUUGCAGAACAACGAACUAUCCGUAGGUACACAACAACCUAAAAAUGGCAUCCAGCAGGGCAACCUAAAAAUGUAACUAAGCUCAUGAGCAACCCGUAGCAACAAUAACAGCAGUUCCAACAACAAUAUCCUAGGAUAACAUCAUACAAAAGAAAAAAGAUCGAGCGUGCGUGCGUAUAGGAAGGCAUGAAGGAAGCGACAAGAAUAGAGUAGCACCUGAGCUGGUACCAGCCACCAACAGCCAAGAUCAUGAGACAACCACAAGCAACAACAACAGCAGUCCCGGAUGUGUAAACAGAUUGCAGAACAAUACCAAAAGUGCAUCUGAAAAAUGGAUUAGAGAUUUUAACAAUACGGACAUGCAGUUCCCAAUAAAUUAAGCUCCUGUAGCAGGUGAUGGUGCCGGUCAACAUUGUUCACAAAUACAGAUAUGAAAAACGAAGAAAUAAAUUAAGGCAUAACACUAAACUAUGACAUUCCCAUUCAGCAUUCUAUUAUACUGUUAAGAAUGCCAUUGGUCUGCUUGGCCUAGCAUGGCGAAAACAUCUGAACUGCUAUAGAUUCAGAGAUAUGUGCAAAAAAUAAAUAUCAAAGGAAGCCUCAUGAACUGUUUGUAAGCCUGCAAUUGUAGGCUUUACUCUUAUAAUUAUUAAAUUGCCUAGAAUACAAAAUAAAAUGUUGAAUCAUCUGAUGUACAAAGCUAAAGACAAGUAUCAAAGGAGGUAUAAUCAGUAUGCAGUAUUAUCACGGUGCUAGAUACUACUAUUCCAAAACACCAAAACAUACAAAAUACACCUAGAGGAAUUCUACCUGAAUUAGUAUCACCCAGGUGGAACACACCUAGAAGCUGAAUCUUUUGAGUUUUUAUUUACCUUGAGCUAUCUCCUCUUGUUGUAGUUGGGGCAUGAAGAGUUUAUCCUUCAAAAAAAAUGAACAUGUCUCCUGCAAUGAGAUAGCCUUUUUCAUUAACCUAUGAUUUCCAUAAAGAGCAUAUAGUUAAGAAUGCAGGGUGGCACAACAGAAGGAAAUGAAGAACCUGUAAUAUAAUGAUGAUGGCAGCCACAACCAACAAUGUGAGUAAGAUGGAUAGCAAACUUAAUAAACGGGGCAGCGGCCUAUGCAGCCAAUGCAAAACCUGUGUCGAAGUUGGGUUCAUAUAUAUCCUCCUAAUCCUAAGCACAUAAAGAUGUUAUUUGAACAAUGGCUGACAGAUUGCUCAAAGUUCAAGUGCAUUGUUCAGCAUCAGCUCUCAAUAAUUUGUGCUUAAUCCUGUACCAAUUAUAUACCUUGUGGAUUUACAUACUUGAGGAUACACCAAAUCCAUAAAUGAAACAAGAGUGCAUAAAAAAGAGCAUAUAUAAGUGAAGAAGAAUGUAACCUUGUAACUAUAUUUGAGGUAAAUUUGAGCAGUUCCACUAAUCUUCAUAGGCAAAGUAUACAUCCAAUGCCUAAUUAGCACUCCCACUUCCCAUACAUAAUCAGGAGCAAGGCCAAGGAUUGAUGCCCAAAUCCCUCUAUCAAAAAAGGAUGCUCUGCGCUAGCUCCAUGAAUAAAUGAGUACUCGUCCAUGCCAUUUUAACCUGUCACACACCAACAAUAUGGAAGAUAAAACAUUUAGCUUUCGGAAAAUGGAUUGUUACAUGGGUGAAAUUAAUUACUAACAACUACAACCAUGUUAUAUUUAUUAUCAUGUUCAAGGUAAGUAACUUAGCGAGCCAGUGCCAAACCUUUCCCUUCCCUUGUCACCCCUGAUAAGGACAAAUCAGGCAGCAGGCAAAAAAAAGGUAACAAAAACAUAGGAAUCUAGGCAGACCACGACAACCUCCUACACAACAACAACAAUAUCCGAGCACCUAAUGCAUCCCAGCACCAGACAAAUUAAGAAAGGCAACAAAAAUCUACCCCGGAUACAGGCACGAGGCCUAGUCUCCUGCAAAGCAACAACAAAUACCAGGGAUCCAAACAGAACCGAGCACCUAAUCUAUCCAAAGGAAUCCGAUCAGAACCAGGAUCGAGCAACCAAUGCAUCCAAGAAAAAGAUUCGGGCAGUCAACACAUCCAAAAAGCUACAGGAGCUGCACAUAACAACUAAUAGCUCUGCUAGACAGGAAGGAAAAGGAAGAGCUCGCCAACCACGAACCUUGCAACAUCUCGACACGGCAACGAACAGCAGGCUGGCCGAAGCUUCGACAAACGGAACAAACAACAACUAGAGAGGACCUGCAAUGAUA